GUGAGGAAGAGGAUCUCCGCGGGGACGCGCGGGGACGCGCAGGGAGCGCGCAGCGCGGCUGUGGAGAGGCGUGACGCGCCCGAACCGGAUCUCCAGGAUGGCAGGACUUUCAGGUCCUCCUGAUCGGCCCUCGACUCUCUGCUCCGGCAUCAGACCGCCGGCCCUUUGAGGACGAUGGACCCUGUGAUCCUGCUGGGUUCCAGGUUCAGGACCAGAACCAGGAUGGACCCACGGACACUAGGAGCCAUGCUACUGGUGGUCGGCACGCUGGUCUCUAUGGCAACAACAAGCUCACCUGCUGCAGAGUCCUCCCACGUUUCUGAUUCAACACACACACACACACACACACACACA